UACAGAGGUCCCAAGCGUUGUUCGGAAUUACUGGGCGUAAAGGGCUCGUAGGCGGCCAACUAAGUCGGACGUGAAAUCCCUCAGCUUAACUGGGGAACUGCGUCUGAUACUGGAUGGCUUGGAUUUGGGAGAGGGAUGCGGAAUUCCAGGUGUAGCGGUGAAAUGCGUAGAUAUCUGGAGGAACACCGGUGGCGAAGGCGGCAUCCUGGACCAACAUUGACGCUGAGGAGCGAAAGCCAGGGGAGCAAACGGG
rnacentral:rRNA from 1 species